rnacentral:rRNA from 1 species
GAUGAACGCUGGCGGCGUGCCUAAUACAUGCAAGUCGAGCGAACAGAUGAGGAGCUUGCUCCUCUGACGUUAGCGGCGGACGGGUGAGUAACACGUGGAUAACCUACCUAUAAGACUGGGAUAACUUCGGGAAACCGGAGCUAAUACCGGAUAAUAUAUUGAACCGCAUGGUUCAAUAGUGAAAGACGGUUUUGCUGUCACUUAUAGAUGGAUCCGCGCCGCAUUAGCUAGUUGGUAAGGUAACGGCUUACCAAGGCAACGAUGCGUAGCCGACCUGAGAGGGGGAGGGGCACCACGGGAGAGGAGACCGGGCCAAGCUCCCACGGGGAGGCGGCAGAGGGGAAUCCGCCGGAAAGGGGGAAAGCCUGACGGGGCAACGGCGGGGGAGUGAUGAAGGUCUUCGGCGCGUAAAACGCUUUUAUAGGGGAAGAAAAAAUGUUUAAUUAACUAGGACCGUUUGAAGGGAACCUAAGAAGAAGGCCCGGCCAAAUCUGUG